rnacentral:tRNA from 1 species
UGCCCUGUCGUCUAAUGGUAGGACAUCAGAUUCUGGAUCUGAGUGUUGUGGUUCGAGUCCACGCGGGGCAA